rnacentral:lncRNA from 1 species
GGGGACACAGAGGGGACACCCAGGGGACACGGAGGGGACACACAGGGGACACUCAGGGGACAGGGGUGUCCCCUGGCACUGGGGGACACGGGGACAGCAGGGGGGACACGCUGAGACACGCUGGGACACAGUGGGAUGUCCCGGGACAUGCCAGGACACACUGGGACAUACUGGGACACACUGGGAUGUCCUGGGACACACUGGGACGCACUGGGACAUACUGGGAUGUGCUGGGACAUGCUGGGAUGUGCUGGGACAUGCUGGGAUGUCCCAGGACACACUGGGACACACUGGGACAUACUGGGAUGUGCUGGGACACACUGGGAUGUGCUGGGACAUGCUGGGAUGUCCCAGGACACAGUGGGACGCACUGGGACAUACUGGGAUGUCCUGACACACACUGGGAUGUCCCGACACACACUGGGAUGUGCUGGGACACACUGGGAUGUCCCAGACACGCCCCAUCCCGUGUCCGUGUGGCUGCCGGGGCUGUGGUGGCCGUGGGGGUGUCACUGUCCCCUUGGGUGUCCCAGGGGGGUGCCCCCAGUGUCACUGUCCCAGGUGUCACAGCCCAGGGCAGUGUCCUCGGUGUCCCCAUGUCCCUGUCCUGGGCAGGUGUCCCCAGUACCCCAGGUGGGUGUCCCCUGUCCCUGUCCCCGGUGUCUCAGGACAGUGUCCCCGUGUCCCCCUGUCCCUGGGUGUCCCAGGGGGGUGUCCCCGUGUCCCUGUCCCAGGACAGUGUCCCCGUGUCCCAGGACAGUGUCCCCGUGGGUGUCCCCAUGUCCCAGGCAGUGUCCCCAUGGAUGUCCCUGUGUCCCUGUUCUGGGAGGUGUCCCCAUGUCCCAGGCAGUGUCCCUGUCCCAGGACAGUGUCCCUGUCCCAGGACAGUGUCCCCGUGUCCCCCUGGGUGUCCCCCUGGGUGUCCCCCUGGGUGUCCCCCUGGGUGUCCCUGUCCCAGGACAGUGUCCCCAUGUCCCAGGACAGUGUCCCCGUGGGUGUCCCCGGUGGUGUCCUCGUGUCGGGGGGUGGCCCUGUCCCUGUCCCUGGGCGGGCGCUACCUGGUGAAGAAGGGCAGGGGGUGGUGGCCCAGGGCCCCCCCCGGGCGGGGGGACUCUGUGCGGGCCAUCACGUCCUUGAACCAGGUGGCCACGUCCACCUCCAGCGUCUCGUAGCGCUUGAUGAAGGUGUGCUCCUGUGGGGACAGGGACAGGGGGACAGGGGGAUGAAGGUGUGCUCCU